rnacentral:miRNA from 1 species
AUUCUGGUUUGUGUGGGACUGA